rnacentral:rRNA from 1 species
UACAGAGGUCCCGAGCGUUGUUCGGAUUCAUUGGGCGUAAAGGGUGCGUAGGCGGCUUCCUAAGUUUGAUGUGAAAUCCUGGGGCUCAACCCUGGAACUGCAUUGAAUACUGGGAGGCUAGAGUACUGGAGAGGAAACUGGAAUUUACGGUGUAGCAGUGAAAUGCGUAGAGAUCGUAAGGAAGACCAGUGGCGAAGGCGAGUUUCUGGACAGUUACUGACGGCUGAGGCAACGAAGGCCAGGGGAGCAAACGGG